rnacentral:rRNA from 1 species
AUGGCGCCGCCGCAUCCAGCGCCACCGCCGGAGACGCCGAUCUUCCGAACCCCAGACGAGCUCCUCCACGACAUCUUCUUCCGCCUCCCCACUGCCGCCGACCUGGCCCGCGCCUCCGCGGCGUGCCCCUCCUUCCGCCGUCUCAUCACCGACCACGCCUUCCUCCGUCGCUACCGCGCCCUCCACCCGCCGCCUCUCGUCGGCGCGUUCGACGACAGCGCCUUCAUCCCGGCCCAGCCGCCGCACCCCUCCGCCGUCGCCGCCCGCGCCUUCGCCGGCUUCGACUUCUCCUGCUCCUCCUUCCUCCCGUCCACCGCCAGCCUUACCUGGAGCGCGAUUGACUUCUUGGACGGACGCGCCCUCCUCGAUAGCGCCCCAGUCCCACGCGAACGCGGCAGCUCUCAUCUGCGCGGCCUCCAGUACCGCUAUUUGUCGGCCAGGGACCUCGCCGUGUGCGACCCCGUGCACCGCCGCUACAUCCUGCUUCCCGCCGUCCCCGGCCACCUGAAAGCGCUGGUCAGUGAACCGGACCUCCUCCAUCUGGAGACUUUCCUUGCUCCCGGCGAUGAUGAGGAGGACCCGUUGUCAUUCAGGGUAAUGUGCUUGGUGCAAUGCAGAACGAAUAUGGUGCUGCUCGUCUUCUCCUCGUUGGACGGGCAGUGGCAUUCUCUUGCAUUUGACCUGUGGAGUGCUCAGGCUCCACUUGAAGACCCCAGGGAUGGGCUCUCAGAUCGUCAGUUCGUCCACGGAUGCUUCUGUUGGCAUUUUCCCCUCCUGAACAAGUUGGUUCUGCUUGAUACACGCACCAUGGAGUUCUCUGCUGUCAACCUACCUCCUGAACUAGGAUGGAGUAGCGAUUUUGUCAUUGUCGAGGCAGCAGAAGGAAUGCUCGGAAUGCUCGCUGAAGUUUAUGACAAGGACAACAUAUAUGACCCAUGUUGGCUGAAUUAUUCCAUUCUGAGAAAUAACCAAUGGCACUUGGAGAAGGUCAUCCCGUUGCCGGGACUGCAUCAUGUUGUUCUGCUUGGUGUAGGCGGGGGAUACCUGCUCAUAGGAGCCAUGUACAUCACAUCUUCUGGAGAGGAGGUGAAGUUUGGGUUAUUUUCGGUGGACGUCAAGACGUUGCAGGUCGAGUUGUUCGCUCAGCGUAGCAAAGUCAUCUUCUCUGGUCGACUAUAUGCUGGUUUCCCACCAUCAUUAUGUGCACCAACCAUAUGA